GAUGAACGCUGGCGGUGUGCUUUAGGUAUGCAAGUCGAACGGCUGAGUAGCAAUACAAGGCAGUGGCAGACGGGUGAGUAACACGUAUGAAUCUACCUUUUAGUGGAGAAUAACUUGUCGAAAGACGGGCUAAUACUGCAUAAUAUCGCAAGAUUAAAGGACUUAACUGUCCGCUAAGAGAGGAGCAUGCGUCCUAUCAGCUAGUUGGUGAGGUAAAGGCUUACCAAGGCUACGACGGGUAUCUGGACUGAGAGGUUGACCAGACACAGGGGCACUGAGACACGGGCUCCACACCUACGGGUGGCAGCAACCAGGAAUAUUGCGCAAUGGACGAAAGUCUGACGCAGCGACACCGCGUGGAGGAUGACAGCUCUAGGGUUGUAAACUCCUUUUGAUAAUCCCUUCACAGAUUAUAGAAUAAGGCCUUACUAAUUACGUGCCAGAAGUCUCGGUAAUACGUAAGGGCCAAGCGUUAUCCGGAUUUACUGGGGCGUAAAGAGUGUGUAGGCGUCCUUCCAAGUUCUCAUUUAAAUCUCAGGCUUAACCUUGAAUCUGGUGAGAAUACUGUUAGGAUUGAGGAUUGUUCGGGAUACUAGAACGGUUGGUGUAGCGGUGAAAUGCGUUGAUAAUCAACUGGAAUACCAAAGGCGAAGGCAGGUAUCUGGAAUUUUCCUGACGCUGAGACACGAAAGCUAGGGUAGCGAAACAGAUUAGAGACCCUGUGUAGUCCUAGCCCUAAAACUAUGGAUGCUAGAUUCCCCGGAAUCGAACUUGUAAUAAUUUGCAGGUUGGGAUUUGGGGAGUCGCAAGCUAACGCGUUAAGCAUCCCGCCUGGGGAGUACGGCCGCAAGGCUAAAACUCAAAGGAAUUGACGGGGGACCCGCACAACCAGUGGAGCGUGUGGUUCAAUUUGAGACGAAGCAAAAAACCUCACCAGGAUUUGACAUGUAACCGUACAUUUCUCCAGAAAUGGAGAGAAAUCCGCAAGGAUGGUUACACAGGUGCUGCAUGGCUGUCGUCAGCUCGUGCCGUGAGGUGUUCCAUUAAGUUGGGAAACGAGUGCAACCCCUAUCUUGUGUUAAAUAUUCACAAGAGACUGCCUCGCCAUUAGGCGCGGAGGAAGGAGGGGCGGACGUCAAGUCCGCAUGGUCCUUAUAUCCUGGGCUACACACACCCUACAAUGGCGAAAAACAACGUGUUGCAAGUCGGUAACGGCAAGCUAAUCACUUAAAUUUCGCCUCAGUUCAGAUUGGGGUCUGAAAUUCGACCCCAUGAAGUCGGAAUUGGUAGUAAUCGCGAAUCAGCAGGUCGCGGUGAAUACGUUCUCGGGUCUUGUACACACCGCCCGUCAAGGCAGCAAAGUCGGAAACUAUCGAACCUCGUGUAUGCGGGGGAGAUAGAGUUCGAUGAUGAGGCUU
rnacentral:rRNA from 1 species